GGCCUACCGUGGUGGUAACGGGUAACGGGGUGUUAGGGCACGACACCGGAGAGGGAGCCUGAGAAACGGCUACCACAUCCAAGGAUGGCAGCAGGCGCGCAAAUUACCCAAUCCCGACACGGGGAGGUAGUGACAAUAAAUAACAAUACGGGGUUCUUUCGGAUCUCGUAAUUGGAAUGAGUACAAUUUAAAUCUCUUAACGAGGAACAAUUGGAGGGCAAGUCUGGUGCCAGCAGCCGCGGUAAUUCCAGCUCCAAUAGCGUAUAUUAAAGUUGUUGCAGUUAAAAAGCUCGUAGUUGAAUUUCGGGGUUAGUAGGUUGGUCAUGCCUCUGGUAUGUACUGGUCUCACUGAUUCCUCCUUCCUGAUGAACCGUAAUGCCAUUAAUUUGGUGUUGCGGGGAAUUUGGACUGUUACUUUGAAAAAAUUAGAGUGUUUAAAGCAAGCUAACGCUUGAAUACAUUAGCAUGGAAUAAUGAAAUAGGACGUUCGAUCCUAUUUUGUUGGUUUCUAGGAUUGACGUAAUGAUUAAUAGGGAUAGUUGGGGGCAUUAGUAUUCAAUUGUCAGAGGUGAAAUUCUUGGAUUUAUUGAAGACUAACUACUGCGAAAGCAUUUGCCAAGGAUGUUUUCAUUAAUCAAGAACGAAAGUUAGGGGAUCGAAGACGAUCAGAUACCGUCGUAGUCUUAACCAUAAACUAUGCCGACUAGGGAUCGGAUGAUGUUAAUUUUUUAAUGACUCAUUCGGCGCCUUACGGGAAACCAAAGUGUUUGGGUUC
rnacentral:rRNA from 1 species